AACCAUAGAAACCUGCGGAGUACCUGCGGAGGGAUCAUUACAGAGUGUUCUACUCCCUUGUAACAGAGGCGAGUUUAACCUCCCGUCCUUUGCUUGACCCCCCAAUCUGAGGGGCCUUUCAAACCUUUUUGCUUCGGCGGGGUUUACCCUGCCGGAACAUCCUCAAAAAAUUCUUGGUCAAAAACUGUUCAGUCCGAGAAACUGAAAAAUUAGUGAAAAACUUUUAACAACGGAUCUCAG
rnacentral:misc_RNA from 1 species